AGGGCCAGGCCUCCUGGUCACCUGGGGUCAGACCUACCCAGUCCCCACUGCCAGGGCUUCACUGGCACAUUCAAACCCUCUGAGAAGGUAUCAGUGAUGUCUUCAGGACAUUGACUCUGUUACCCCUGCCAUUCCACUGAUUCAUCCAUUUUCCUCUUUUAUCCAUUCAUAUACCAGACUUCCCUCUGGGUCAUGGUCUCCAGACACGUGCCAGGCAGGUGCGGAAGACAGAUCCUUAUGUGGAAAGCUGCCCCUAGCGGACCCAGAAUCACCGGUUGGAGGCACACGGGCUUAGGGACCACCUGAGCCAGCAAGCAGAGGAGGCCAGGAUCCCUCUGCCCCUGGAGCAGUGUGACCAGUGUGACCAGUGAGCCUCCGUGUCUGCACCUGUCCUUGAGUAACUCCAAUAAAACUCAUUGGUCACCAGGCUGGACUUUGGCGGUGUCCACACUUGGUCUGUUGUUAGUUCCCUAUCUGGAGUGAGUAGACAUUUGUUCACGUCUACCCAUCAUGCACCAUCAACAUCACCCCCCACCCCACUGCCACCACCAGCUUGACUGUACUCCUCACCUCUGUUUCCUGUAUGCCACCAUCGCUACCACCAGCAUUGUUAGUCAUCAUUAUUAUCAUCUUCAUCAUCUUCACCAUCAUCAUCAUCAUCAUCAUCAUCAUCGUCCCAUCUCAGCCGCGGAGCGCUACCAUCAAUUAUUAGUGUUGCUGGCAUCUUUACCCGUGGUAGGUGUGGUGUCCAGGACCUCAUGUGCAUGCUUUCAUGGAAUCCUCAAAAUGACCACAGGAGCAGAAAGCUUUCUAGUAGUCUUGCUUUUUUGGUUUGCUUUCUUCUGUUUGGGCCAGCCUCACUGCGUGGCUCAGACUGAACUUGCUACCCUCCUGAAUACUAAGGUUACACAAAUGCUGGGUUGUAGGCGUGUACCACCGUGCCUAGCCUUUUGUUCUUAUUUUACGGAUGAGAGAACAAACUAAGAGAAGUUACGGAGUUUGUGCAACAUGGUACUUUCAAGUACUGGCUAAGCUUAGUCUGAAAACAACAACAACAAUGACAACAACAACAAGCAAAAGCAAAAACAAAUGAACAAACAAACAAUCCCCUCCCCCAAGAAACACCACCACCACCAAGUCUCAAGCCAGCAGGUGUUCAGUGUUUAUUAUGAGCUACAGUGCCUCCCGUUGCUAGGAACACAGAAAUGAGUGUAUCUCCCGGCUAUGGGGAUCUUGACAGCUUUCUGAGGGACAUCAGACAAUGAAAUUAACACAGAACAGCCUAAAGGAACGUGUCUUAUGAGAGUUACCCCGAAUGAGGUACCCCGAGGGCCAGAGAAAGGCGUCAUUUGUGGUGGAGAGGGCGCUGUACAUACACUUUUGAGAAGAGGGUGUCCCAACUUCUGGUUAUCUAAAAGCCUUCUUGUCUUGCACUGUCCAGAGUCCAGUCAGCUCAAGCAAAGCCUGCAGCAAUUCUAGCCUUGCACAGCCUGGCCAGGUGGUCUUUUGCGUGUAUUUCCCAGGCCACCAUCUUGGUUUCCUCUGGGAAAGGGAAGCAAGAUGGUCGGACACUGUGAGGGAAAGAUCAGUUUUGGGCAGAGCUGAGUUCCUCUCGGUUCCUUAUAGGCUCUCCACGCUUAUCAAGAAUGGGAGGAGACCCUCAUUAGCUGGAUUAUGUAGUAAACUGUGGCAGUUGGGGGGGGGGGCAUGGCUCCUUGUCACUCUUCCCUGAUGCCUCUCAAGGGGACUUCAGGGCACCUGUGUGGAUCAUGGAAGAGGCCAAGAUUCUUCGUCCGCCCAUCCAUCAGGAGUGCACACUCCUUGUGGCUGGCGAGGUGAUCCUUCCCUUAGUGGGUGAGGGUCCCAAGCAUACAUCUGGGCCUCUGGGUCAGAAAAACAGGCCAGCAGUUUCAGUCUGGCCUUCUGCCCAAGCAGCAGCUGGCCUGCUUCCCGAGAGCCUUGGGCAGGCAAGAGGGAGAGCUGACGGAUUAGAAGCUGUCUGGUCGGAAUGACGAGUGUAACUCCCACCUUUUGGCGCUCUCUCAAGAGACCGCAGCACAGCAGUUAACGUGCCUUUUGAAGGUUUCUGCACAUUAGACUGAGGUUCUUCUGCUGUGACUCAUGCUCAGGUUGUCUUCAAGGAGGAGGCAAGAUGGCCUAGCUCCAAGAGCUUACACUCGACUGGUUCCUUUGCUCAUUUGACAAAUACUUUCUGACCUCCUCUGGAAGGACCAGGACCUGCGCUUGGAAAGAACCCUUGGGAGAGGACAAAACAGAGGCAGAUUCUACCAUCAGGACAGUGAAGGGCAGAUGUACUGCACUCCCAUGGCUACUGGAAAUGGAAAUGCAAUUACAGACAAUUUGGGGCCCUCCUCCAAGGAAGGGCUGCUAGGAAAACAUGAAAGUGACUUGGGGUGUCAUAAUGGCAGUGCUUAGGGAUGGCUACCCGGUGUUGGAUGGACUGAGCUUUACCCUGAGAAUGGCUUGCAAGCUGGAUCAUUGGUACCCACGUUAUCUCAGUUAUUCCUAUUGGAUCACUUCCAGUGCUUGUCUUUGUGGUUACUGACUCAUCCAUUUCACCCUUACCCUUAGGAAAUAAGAACUACUGUUAUUUUACGGAUUGGGAAACCGAAGCACAGAAAAACUGAGUAAAUAUUCUGAUGCUAUACAGUUAGUAAAUUGUCGGGUGAGGGCCUGCACCCAAACGCAUUGGGAGGGGGGUGAGUUCUCAGUGGAUGGAACAGAGGUGCACGGAAAAUGACUGGUGACUAGAAGGAGGAGGCAGAGCAUUCACAGACCCAGAUGAGGCAUGCAGCUGGGCACAGGGCUCUAGGAACAGCAGGGCCGAGGCAGGCAUAAACAGGGGAUGUAGAAUAGGUGUUGAGAUUUGCCUUGGGUUAGGAUCUUGCCAAAGGGAGCUCUGUAGGGGCAAAUCCUGGGUCCAUUCUUCCCCCUGUGUAUACCCAGGUCUGGGUACCUGAGCUGUCACAGGACAGGAGGUAUCCAACUGUCACCUGGUGAGUGACUGUACAGGGAAGUUCAGCUGUCACCUGUUGAUGUCCUCAGUUGGGAAGUUGGGAAGCCAAUGGAAAUGGCAGCAUGGGGUUGGGGUUCUGCCCUUCAGACACUUCUGGGAACACACAAGGAGAGCAUCGCCUCUAGUCUGUCUCAGUGUGGUCAGCGUAUCUCUUGGAAGACAACAUCCUGGGCUGGUUCAUUGCUCCCUCUUCUAACUUGGGGCUGUUGGCAUCAGUUCCUGGGCUGAGUCUGGCCAUCCCUAAGCACAGAUUGGAUCAUAGCUGAGCUUAAAUUCUACAUGUUCAUGUUCUAUAGACUGCCUAGAAGUCUGUUGAGAAUCAAUCAGUCUGCCUAGAAAUCUGUUGAGAAUCAAUCAGUAAAUCAUUAAUCUGC